rnacentral:rRNA from 1 species
UACAGAGGGUGCAAGCGUUGUUCGGAAUUAUUGGGCGUAAAGCGCGUGUAGGCGGCUUUGCAAGUCGGGUGUGAAAGCCCUCAGCUUAACUGAGGAAGUGCGCCCGAAACUGCAGAGCUUGAGUACCGGAGAGGAUGGCGGAAUUCCCCAAGUAGAGGUGAAAUUCGUAGAUAUGGGGAGGAACACCGGUGGCGAAGGGGGCCAUCUGGACGGAUACUGACGCUGAGACGCGAAAGCGUGGGUAGCAAACAGG